UAAAGAAGGUCACAAUAAUUUUUGGGCACUGCCUAAAAUAACCCAGUGGAUUUGAGAGUUACAGCCAAGGAAGCAAACAGGCAAACUAAAAGCACAGGAACAAUGCAGCAUUCAGGCAUUGUGAGCUGGGAACGCGCGGUGUGCCAGGUCAAGUCAGCAGCCCCAGAGCCGCUCUCAACAGUGUGCCAAGCCUGAUCAGUUUUGACGUCUCCAGUCUCAGAUGUGAACACUCUUGUGCCUCGUUCUUCUUGUUCUUCCUCUAAUCCACAUGAAUGCAUUCUCUAUCCCUGCUGAACAUCUAUUCCCUGACUCAUCUGCUGAGAGACUCCAUUGUCUCCCACCCAUCAGAUCUCCCGACUCCUCAGGGCAUAGAUCCUCAUCUUUCUGCCUAGGAAGCCUGAGCCCGCUUAUUAGGGCCGAAUUUGCCGCCCCCUCCCUGUCUUCCCUCACCACUGUGAUCACACAUCUCCCAUAAUAUACUUUCUGUCAUAUGCUGCUAUGAUUUGCACUGUGGCUGUUGCUCGACUCGAUUGUGACCAUUCAGUGGC